UUUUUGUUUCUCAAAAUAAAGAGCUAGAGUCGGGGGGGGAGGGUGUGUGUUCCAAAAUUUAUGUUCUUGUUUAGACUGUUGCAGGGGGCUUUGAAAAUUCUACUUGUCUUAAGAGCGGGGUAACGAAAAAAUAUUAGAACUGUAGAGUUUCUCCUCAGUCCCUCCCCUGUAGAAUAAAUAAUGAGCGGUCCCUUAGAACUUGUGAUGAUAUAUUUAAGAGGGAACUUUCUUUUUGCGUGGAGUUUAUAAUAUAUAGCUUUUGACAGGGGGGUUUCCAGUGGGGAUACCCCCCAUAUUGUAAUAUUGAAGUUUCGUCGGGCACGUUUAACAAUUUUAACGACUCGCUCGUCGGACAAAAAUAUGUAUUUGAGCAAAAAAUUUUAAAUAAUUUAUUGAAUAAAGUAAUAGUUGUAGGG